rnacentral:lncRNA from 1 species
AGGCGCGAGAGCACCGGUCACCGCUCAAAUUACCUCAUCUCCCCAGCUCCCCGCCCCUUUCUCAAACCUGGAAGGAGCGUCUCCUCGGGUAGGGUCUCCCCUCCCGCUCCCGGCUCCCCAGCGGCUCUGGAACUGGCGCCGGCCUCCCCGGGGUCCGCCUCCCGGGGCCGCGCGCAGCGAAGGGUUAAGGGCGCGGGCCGGCCGCCGCGCCGUGCGCUCGCCGUGCUCUGUGCGGCUCGCCGGGCCGCCUGCCAGAGGGUGCCCCCACCCCCCCAUGAAGUCGGAUCCUUGAGCUGCGGCGGCGGCAGCCAACUGCUCCAUAUUUGGCUUCUAUUACACAUUUACAUACUGGAGCGRGCGAGCGAGCGAGCGCGAGAGAGCGCGAGGGAGGGAGGGCGGGCGCAGGGAGGAGGGAGGGGAGGGGAGCGGGAGGAGGGGGAGGAGGAGGAGGAGAGAGCAGAGUAUACCGCAGACAUCAUUUCUACUACAGUGGCGGAGCCGUACAGGACCUGUUUCACUGCAGGGGGAUCCAAAACAAGCCCCGUGGAGCAGCCGCCAGAGCGACAGCAGCCGCAAGACAUUGUUUCUCUCCCUCUGUCCCCCUUCCCCACGCAACCCCAGAUCUAUUUACACUUUACAGAGCAUCGUGCACCGAGUCACCAGGGUGGUCCAUUCAAGCUGCAGAUCCGUUUGUCCUCCUUACACAGCAAUCUCGUCCCCCACUGCCACCACAGGGAAGUACAUCGAAUGUCAGUCUCAUGAAGAAGAUUUUCAGUGGUGCCCUGUACGUAGAGACAACAGUCCCAGGGUUUCCUUUGAUCUUCUGCACCGCGGGUUCACUCAUCUCCUGUGAUGUGCGUAAAUGACAUUGUGCUGUAGACAGCUUGA